UCCAAAGCGUCACUAUAUUGAUGACAGCGAUUCGUCGUGUUUGUACAUAGAUAUCUAUGGUGUUUGUUGUAGAAGCUCAUCCUGGCCUAGUCAUGUGCUUAGGUAGCUAUUACCAUGAUGCAAAUUAGUCAUAACUAUCUGUAUCCGUUAUAACUGAAAAUGGAAAAUUACUGAAAAUGGAAAAUGAAAAUUAACUCUGCAGCCCCCUUCUGUUAUUUGAGUGAUGAAGCGAUGGCAGUUAGCCUGAAGUUAGCUAGCGGCUUAACCGAACAGAUAUGAGUCGACACGCAGAGGUUCAAAGUGAAAUAGUUAUAAAACGCAGCUCAUGGUCCAAAAAGAGAUCCAGAGAUACAGGAAUGCGGAGCGAUUUAACUCCGGCUAAGAAGCGGCUCAGUGCAGAACAUUGUAAACCAGCCGAAGAUAGAAAUAAAGAACUACAGAUCAAGAUAGAAGACAGAGUCCCAGAGCAGUGCUGCAGUGACAGUGAAGAUCUCUUUGAUGGCUAUGACAGCAUUAUCGCUGACACCUCCUUCCUCGCCAAGCUGGAAGAUUUUGAACAGGAUCAAGCACCACAAACCAGCAAAAGCUCACAGAACAUCGAUCAUCUCACAGACGUCGUGGACAAUUUCCAUGAUUCAUCACUGAGAGAUUUACCGAGCUCUCAACUUGCAUUUCAGCAAGAUGAGCAAAAUAAAUCUCCCCCAGCCCACACAGGAGGAACCGGGAACACGCCUGUUCCCAAAAAGAGAUGCUUCGAUCCAAUCUCCACUGAUCAGAACAAACCCACAGGCAAGGCCAGGAGAAGCAUGGCUGACCAGCUGAAAAGGGCCAUGCUGGAAAACGCUACUUCUUCCAACACCAUUUCAAAGGCUGUUCUGCAGAAAGAGGCAGCAGUGAGCGAAGAAAUUAGUGCAGCCGUGCAGACUAUCAAAUAUGCGCCCCAAGAAGGAGAUUUGGGUCCUUUCUUUGGGCUUCCAUCCAAAGUUAAGGAUUUAAUCAAGAGAUUGAAGAGGAUUGAGGACUUGUAUGAGUGGCAGAAGGUGUGCCUGAAUUUGGACUCAGUGAUCCACAGAAAGAAUUUGAUCUACUCUCUUCCGACGAGUGGAGGGAAGACAUUGGUGGCUGAGAUUCUUAUUUUCAAAGAGAUUCUCUGUAGGAAGAAAGACGCUCUGCUGAUAUUACCAUAUGUAUCCUUGGUGCAAGAAAAGGUACGUGGAUUGUCAAGUUUUGGUAUUGAGCUGGACUUCUUGGUAGAGGAGUAUGCUGGGAGUAAAGGGAAAUUCCCUCCUGUGAAAAGACGAAGCAGGAAUUCACUUUACAUUGCUACAAUAGAGAAAGGUCACAGCCUAGUGAACUCGCUCAUUGAGACAAGCAGACUGGACAACAUCGGCUUAGUGGUGGUGGAUGAGCUCCACAUGCUUGGAGACGGCAGCAGAGGAGCGAUUCUCGAGAUGACUCUGGCCAAAUUACUCUACAUCAGCAAAAGCACACAAAUCAUUGGAAUGAGUGCAACUCUGGGCAACGUAGCAGAUCUCCUGAGUUUCCUGAAGGCUGAGAACUACACCAAUGACUUCAGGCCUGUCCAGCUUAAGGAGUAUGUGAAACUGAGGGACAGUAUAUAUGAAAUCGAUCCUAAAGAGGAGCACUGCUUCUGCUUCUCACGUGUGCUGAAUUUUAAGUACUCCAGCGGGAUGCAGAAGCUGGAUCCGGACCACAUUAUUGCUCUGGUUACUGAAGUGAUCCCUCAACAGUCCUGUUUAAUAUUCUGUGCCACCAAGAAGAACUGCGAAAACAUAGCUGGUAUGAUCUGCAAGUAUCUGAAUAAAGACUUCCUCAAGCACAGAGAGGAGGAGAAAGCGACUCUGCUCUCCGAGCUGAGGAACAGUGGGAAUGGUGCGUUGUGUCCCGUGCUGCAGAAGACCGUGCCCUUCGGCCUGGCGUACCACCACAGCGGUCUGACCAGUGAUGAAAGGAAGCUGCUGGAGGAGGCCUACUCAUCCGGAGUGCUCUGUCUCCUCGCCUGCACCUCCACCCUGGCUGCGGGCAUCAAUCUCCCUGCUCGCAGGGUGAUCCUGCGCUCCCCAUACGUGGGAGCAGACUUCUUAAAGAGGAGUCAGUACAAGCAGAUGGUGGGAAGAGCAGGUCGUGCUGGGAUUGAUUCAAUGGGUGAGAGCAUCGUCAUCCUGCAGGACAAAGACAAGGAGAGGGUCAAAGAGCUAGUGUGUGCACCAGUGGAAAACUGUUACAGCAACCUGUUACAUGAUGGGAGUCACGGCCUUCUAAGUCUCAUUCUCUCCCUCAUUGGCCUUGAAAUCACAUGCACUGUGGAGCAGGUCCUGGAGUUCAUGUCCAGGACUUUACUCAGCAUCCAGGAAACUCGGCUUUGUCUGCAGAAGAGUCUUAGUAAGCUUACAGUGGAGUCUAUAGAGAUACUGAAUCAAAAGGGGCUCAUCACCAUGGCUUCUCACGAGCAAUCGGUGCUGCGUGUCACCAAACUUGGAAGAGCAACAUAUAAAGGCUCAGUAGAUCUGAGAUACUCGGACAUCCUCUACAGAGACUUGUCUAAAGGUCUGGAGGGUCUGCUGCUGAACAGUUUUCUGCAUUUGGUGUAUCUGGUCACUCCAUAUGACAUGGUUUCCCAGAUCAAACCAGAAUGGAUGAUCUACUUCAGCCAGUUAACAAAGCUGUCUGCCGCUGAACAGAAGAUGGCAGCCACUAUUGGUGUGCCUGAGAGCUUCCUCGUUCGGAAAGCAGCUGGACAGAGUGUGAGGAAGAGUAUAGACCCUGCAGUGGUGAACAGACUGUACCUGGCUCUGGUGCUUUAUUCUCUGCUGAAUGAGACGAAUGUGUGGAACGUCUCAGACAGAUUUCAGCUGACGCGAGGCCUCAUUCAGACCCUCGUCAGUUCCGCCUCAGCCUUCUGCUCCUGUGUGCUGCAUUUCACUGAGGAGCUGGAGGAGUUUUGGGCCUAUAAAGCUCUUCUCACUGAGCUGACCCGCAGACUGACCUACUGUGUACAGGCUGAGCUCAUUCCACUGAUGGAGGUCACUGGAGUCAUGGAGUUCCGUGCCAAGCAGCUGUAUAAUGCUGGGUAUAAAUCUCUGGCUCAUCUGGCCAACGCUGACCCGAACGUGCUGGUGAAAACUGUGGAGAAUCUUUUUAAGAGCUCAAGAUUUUGAAGAAUCACUAAACACAUGAAUUCACCCAGUAAACGGAAGGUCAACAGUGUCGAAGAAAGCUCAUCCUUCAUUUCUUGCUACAGUACAAUGCUGUUACAGGAGAAGGCAGAAGCUCUGCAGGAGGAGGUUGACGAGCUGCUGAUGUUCCCUCCUGACCUCCCGUCUGCCUAAACGUUUACUAUUUUAUGUAAUUCAAUUUAACAUUUAUGCUAUUUAUAUUUAUCUUUGAUGGCUAGCCCAACUGUCUAAAAUGAGAUGUUUAAUAUCUCUUUUUUUUUUGUAUAUGUUUUUUUUAUCAUGAAAGCCAUCUGGUCAAUAAAUGAAUGCAAACAUAUAUAAUAUAACUAAUUUAUUUUU